rnacentral:rRNA from 1 species
GAUGAACGCUGGCGGCGUGCCUAAUACAUGCAAGUCGAGCGAACAGAUAAGGAGCUUGCUCCUUUGAAGUUAGCGGCGGACGGGUGAGUAACACGUGGGUAACCUACCUAUAAGACUGGGAUAACUUCGGGAAACCGGAGCUAAUACCGGAUAACAUUUAGAACCGCAUGGUUCUAAAGUGAAAGAUGGUUUUGCUAUCACUUAUAGAUGGACCCGCGCCGUAUUAGCUAGUUGGUAAGGUAACGGCUUACCAAGGCGACGAUACGUAGCCGACCUGAGAGGGUGAUCGGCCACACUGGAACUGAGACACGGUCCAGACUCCUACGGGAGGCAGCAGUAGGGAAUCUUCCGCAAUGGGCGAAAGCCUGACGGAGCAACGCCGCGUGAGUGAUGAAGGGUUUCGGCUCGUAAAACUCUGUUAUUAGGGAAGAACAAAUGUGUAAGUAACUGUGCACAUCUUGACGGUACCUAAUCAGAAAGCCACGGCUAACUACGUGCCAGCAGCCGCGGUAAUACGUAGGUGGCAAGCGUUAUCCGGAAUUAUUGGGCGUAAAGCGCGCGUAGGCGGUUUCUUAAGUCUGAUGUGAAAGCCCACGGCUCAACCGUGGAGGGUCAUUGGAAACUGGGAAACUUGAGUGCAGAAGAGGAAAGUGGAAUUCCAUGUGUAGCGGUGAAAUGCGCAGAGAUAUGGAGGAACACCAGUGGCGAAGGCGACUUUCUGGUCUGUAACUGACGCUGAUGUGCGAAAGCCUGUGGGAUCAAACAGGAUUAGAUCCCCUGGUAGUCCACGCCGUAAACGAUGAGUGCUAAGUGUUAGGGGGUUUCCGCCCCUUAGUGCUGCAGCUAACGCAUUAAGCACUCCGCCUGGGGAGUACGACCGCAAGGUUGAAACUCAAAGGAAUUGACGGGGACCCGCACAAGCGGUGGAGCAUGUGGUUUAAUUCGAAGCAACGCGAAGAACCUUACCAAAUCUUGACAUCCUUUGAAAACUCUAGAGAUAGAGCCUUCCCCUUCGGGGGACAAAGUGACAGGUGGUGCAUGGUUGUCGUCAGCUCGUGUCGUGAGAUGUUGGGUUAAGUCCCGCAACGAGCGCAACCCUUAAGCUUAGUUGCCAUCAUUAAGUUGGGCACUCUAGGUUGACUGCCGGUGACAAACCGGAGGAAGGUGGGGAUGACGUCAAAUCAUCAUGCCCCUUAUGAUUUGGGCUACACACGUGCUACAAUGGACAAUACAAAGGGCAGCUAAACCGCGAGGUCAUGCAAAUCCCAUAAAGUUGUUCUCAGUUCGGAUUGUAGUCUGCAACUCGACUACAUGAAGCUGGAAUCGCUAGUAAUCGUAGAUCAGCAUGCUACGGUGAAUACGUUCCCGGGUCU